CAUGCAAGUCGAACGAGAAAGUCCCUUCGGGGGCUAGUAAAGUGGCGCAAGGGUGAGUAACACGUGAAUAAUCUGCCCUCGAACCUGGGAUAACUUGGCGAAAGUUAAGCUAAUACCGGAUAAGACCACGUUUCGCAGGAAACGCGGUAAAAGGAGUCUCAAACUUCAUUUGAGGAUGAGUUCGCGGACCAUUAGCUUGUUGGCGGGAUAACAGCCCACCAAGGCUACGAUGGUUAGCCGGCCUGAGAGGGUGAUCGGCCACACUGGAACUGAUACACGGUCCAGACUCCUACGGGAGGCAGCAGUGGGGAAUAUUGCGCAAUGGGCGAAAGCCUGACGCAGCAACGCCGCGUGAGGGAUGAAGGCCUUAGGGUCGUAAACCUCUGUCAAAUGGGAAGAAUUAUGACGGUACCAUUAAAGGAAGCCCCGGCUAACUCCGUGCCAGCAGCCGCGGUAAUACGGAGGGGGCAAGCGUUGUUCGGAAUUAUUGGGCGUAAAGCGUAUGUAGGCGGUUAAACAAGUCAGGUGUGUAAGCCCACGGCUCAACCGUGGAAUUGCAUUUGAAACUGUUUGACUUGAGUUCAGGAGAGGAAAGUGGAAUUCCCAGUGUAGCGGUG
rnacentral:rRNA from 1 species